rnacentral:rRNA from 1 species
UACAGAGGGUGCAAGCGUUGUUCGGAAUUAUUGGGCGUAAAGCGCGUGUAGGCGGCUAGGUAAGUCGGGUGUGAAAGCCCUCAGCUCAACUGAGGAAGUGCGCCCGAAACUGCUUGGCUUGAGUGCCGGAGAGGAUGGCGGAAUACCCCAAGUAGAGGUGAAAUUCGUAGAUAUGGGGUGGAACACCGGUGGCGAAGGCGGCCAUCUGGACGGUAACUGACGCUGAGACGCGAAAGCGUGGGUAGCAAACAGG